rnacentral:rRNA from 1 species
GAUGAACGCUGGCGGCGUGCCUAAUACAUGCAAGUCGAGCGAACGGACGAGAAGCUUGCUUCUCUGAUGUUAGCGGCGGACGGGUGAGUAACACGUGGAUAACCUACCUAUAAGACUGGGAUAACUUCGGGAAACCGGAGCUAAUACCGGAUAAUCUUUUGAACCGCAUGGUUCAAAAGUGAAAGACGGUCUUGCUGUCACUUAUAGAUGGAUCCGCGCUGCAUUAGCUAGUUGGUAAGGUAACGGCUUACCAAGGCAACGAUGCAUAGCCGACCUGAGAGGGUGAUCGGCCACACUGGAACUGAGACACGGUCCAGACUCCUAGGGGAGGCAGCAGUAGGGAAGCUUCCGCAAUGGGCGAAAGCCUGACGGAGCAACGCCGCGUGAGUGAUGAAGGUCUUCGGAUCGUAAAACUCUGUUAUUAGGGAAGAACAGAUGUGUAAGUAACUGUGCACAUCGUGACGGUACCUAAUCAGAAAGCCACGGCUAACUACGUG